rnacentral:tRNA from 1 species
UCCCAUGUGGCUCAGUUGGUAGAGCAUGGCACUUGCAACGCCAGGGUUGUGGGUUAGAUUCACACGGGGGAC